AACGAACGCUGGCGGCACGCCUAACACAUGCAAGUCGAACGAGGUCUUCGGGUCUAGUGGCGCACGGGUGCGUAACGCGUGGGAAUCUGCCCUUUGGUUCGGAAUAACAGUUGGAAACGACUGCUAAUACCGGAUGAUGACGAAAGUCCAAAGAUUUAUCGCCAGAGGAUGGGCCCGCGUAGGAUUAGCUAGUUGGUGUGGUAAAGGCGCACCAAGGCGACGAUCCUUAGCUGGUCUGAGAGGAUGAUCAGCCACACUGGGACUGAGACACGGCCCAGACUCCUACGGGAGGCAGCAGUGGGGAAUAUUGGACAAUGGGCGAAAGCCUGAGCCAGCAAUGCCGCGUGAGUGAUGAAGGCCUUAGGGUUGUAAAGCUCUUUUACCCGGGAUGAUAAUGACAGUACCGGGAGAAUAAGCUCCGGCUAACUCCGUGCCAGCAGCCGCAGUAA
rnacentral:rRNA from 1 species